rnacentral:rRNA from 1 species
CCUACGGGAGGCAGCAGUGGGGGAUAUUGCACAAUGGGGGGAACCCUGAUGCAGCGACGCCGCGUGGGUGAAGAAGCGCCUCGGCGCGUAAAGCCCUGUCAGCAGGGAAGAAAAUGACGGUAUCUGAAGAAGAAGCCCCGGCUAACUACGUGCCAGCAGCCGCGGUAAUACGUAGGGGGCAAGCGUUACCCGGAUUUACUGGGUGUAAAGGGGGCGCAGACGGCGAUGCAAGCCAGGAGUGAAAGCCCGGGGCUCAACCCCGGGACUGCACUUGGAACUGCGUGGCUGGAGUGCAGGAGGGGCAGGCGGAAUUCCUGGUGUAGCGGUGAAAUGCGUAGAUAUCAGGAGGAACACCGGUGGCGAAGGCGGCCUGCUGGACUGCAACUGACGUUGAGGCCCGAAAGCGUGGGGAGCAAACAGGAUUAGAUACCCUGGUAGUC